AGAUUGAACGCUGGCGGCAUGCUUUACACAUGCAAGUCGAACGGUAACGCGGGGGCAACCCUGGCGACGAGUGGCGAACGGGUGAGUAAUACAUCGGAACGUGCCCAGUAGUGGGGGAUAGCUCGGCGAAAGCCGGAUUAAUACCGCAUACGACCUACGGGUGAAAGCGGGGGAUCGCAAGACCUCGCGCUAUUGGAGCGGCCGAUGGCAGAUUAGCUUGUUGGUGGGUAAAAGCCUACCAAGGCGACGAUCUGUAGCUGGUCUGAGAGGACGACCAGCCACACUGGGACUGAGACACGGCCCAGACUCCUACGGGAGCAGCAGUGGGGAAUCUUGCGCAAUGGGCGAAAGCCUGACGCAGCGACGCCGCGUGCGGGAAGAAGGCCUUCGGGUGUAAACCGCUUUCAGGAGGACGAAGCCACUCGGUAAUACGCCCAGAGGUGACGGUACCUCCGAGAACGAAGCCCCGGACUAACCUACGUGCCAGCAGCCGC
rnacentral:rRNA from 1 species